GCAUGUUCACAUGAUUAAAGGUAUUCCGGUAGACGAUGGGGAUGCGUUCCAUUAGAUAGUAGGCGGGGUAACGGCCCACCUAGUCUUCGAUGGAUAGGGGUUCUGAGAGGAAGCUCCCCCACAUUGGAACUGAGACACGGUCCAAACUCCUACGGGAGGCAGCAGUGAGGAAUAUUGGUCAAUGGGCGAGAGCCUGAACCAGCCAAGUAGCGUGAAGGAUGACUGCCCUAUGGGUUGUAAACUUCUUUUAUAAAGGAAUAAGGUCGGGUAUGCAUACCCGUUUGCAUGUACUUUAUGAAUAAGGAUCGGCUAACUCCGUGCCAGCAGCCGCGGUAAUACGGAGGAUCCGAGCGUUAUCCGGAUUUAUUGGGUUUAAAGGGAGCGUAGAUGGAUGUUUAAGUCAGUUGUGAAAGUUUGCGGCUCAACCGUAAAAUUGCAGUUGAUACUGGAUAUCUUGAGUGCAGUUGAGGCAGGCGGAAUUCGUGGUGUAGCGGUGAAAUGCUUAGAUAUCACGAAGAACUCCGAUUGCGAAGGCAGCCUGCUAAGCUGCAACUGACAUUGAGGCUCGAAAGUGUGGGUAUCACACAGGAUUGGAUACCCUGGUAGUCCACACGGUAAACGAUGAAUACUCGCUGUUUGCGAUAUACAGCAAGCGCCC
rnacentral:rRNA from 1 species